AUUGCCUGACGAGUCCCAAACAGGACGAAACGUACGUCCUGGAU
rnacentral:hammerhead_ribozyme from 1 species